rnacentral:rRNA from 1 species
UAAGGCGGGACACCUCGUAGGAACGGUAUUAACUACCGCAUAAUAUGCCGAAGUCGCAUGACUUUGGUAUUAAAGCAGCAAUGCACUUAGAGAUGAGUGUGCGUCCCAUUAGGUAGUUGGUGAGGUAACGGCUCACCAAGCCUAUGAUGGGUAGCCGGUCUGAGAGGAUGGUCGGCCACACGGGCACUGAGACACGGGCCCGACUCCUACGGGAGGCAGCAGUAAGGAAUAUUGGUCAAUGGUGGAAACACUGAACCAGCCAUGCCGCGUGGAGGAAUAAGGUCCUACGGAUUGUAAACUCCUUUUGACGAGGAAGAAAAUGUUAGAUUUAUCUAAUUUUGACGGUACUCGUAGAAUAAGCACCGGCUAACUCCGUG